GCUCCGUUAGCUCAGCUGGAUAGAGCAGGGAACUUCUAAUUCUCAGGUCAUAGGUUCGAGUCCUAUACGGGGUA
rnacentral:tRNA from 1 species